GCUAUGUCUGGCCUGAUUUUACUAGAACUUUGUAUUGUAUUCAUAUAACUAAUAAUUAUUCUGAUCUAUAUUUAAAAUGCAAAUUUCUAUUCUAUAAGUUAAUUGAUAAUAUCCAUGCGGGGAAACAUAUGAAACAAUAACAUGCUCGAUGGAUGAUGAAUUAGGCGUUCAUGCCUGUCAUGCAGAAGUUCUUUCAAUAUAAAAAGGAAGAAACUGAUUAUGUGUUCUUCCUGUUUUAAUUGUAAACAAAGACAGACCUGUAUUCGUGUUCAUGUUCUAGAUGAAUGCAUGCACGCGGUUUCUCGCCUGCUGUAACAAGCAUCACGUAUAACGCCUAUUUAUAGUAUGACGAGGAUCUUAUAAAAGGCCAAAUGAAAUUAGUUCAUUGUUCACACAACGCAUUAUUCAGUCAAAUUUUCCUUUAAACAAAUUAAGCAGAAGAGUGUAAAAUUCAGCUAACCCAGAGGGUAAGUACCGAUUUGUGAUAUGCUAUACCGAUUGCUAAUGCAUGCAUGCAGAAACUUUUUAAAGCCAAUUUAAUAGGAAGAUAUACCACUUAUAAAUACUUCGUUCACUGUAAAAAACUAUAAUUUUGUAUUGAAUAUGUCUUCUUAAAAUACACACGCGUCAACAAGCACAACACCAGAAUACCGUAGUAAAUCUUAGUCACAAUUACUAGGGCGUAGAUAUAUAUGGAGCGUACCGCGUACGUCUUAUUUUGCAAUUUAAUUACCAAUUUGAUUUAAUUUGCUAAGAGUUUACUCGAGCUAGAGGAGUGAUUUUGGUUGCGUUUUUAUAGCAGGAGAAAGUUUAUAAAUAUAAGCGGAAGAUUGGCAGGCACUGCAAAAUCAGCGCAGGUUAACUAAAAAGGAGAGCUAUCUUUAAGAGGGGAAUGUGGAUUCGGUGUAUAGUCGAUUGUCCAUCCUUAUUUUAGCGAAACAAUAUAUUAUUAAAUUUUGAAAUAUAUGAACUAGAUCAAGUAAAAAUGUGUGCGUGCAGACGUUUAGUUUUGAUCAGACGUUUAAUCGAGUACACAGAAUAUGCGUGCAGUGUCGUUUAGCUUCGAUCAUACCUUCGAUCAUAUAGUUUCGAUCAUAGCUUCGAUCAUAGCUUCGAUCAUAGCUUCGAUCAUGGCUUCGAUCAUAGCUUCGAUCAUAGCUUCGAUCAUAGCUUCGAUCAUAGCUUCGAUCAUGGCUUCGAUCAUAGCUUCGAUCAUAGCUUUGAUCAUGGUUUCGAUCGAGUAUCAGUGCUUUGAAAGUGUGCAUUCACAAUUACCUAAGUGCGCAUAAUAAAACCCAAUAUUAUUACACUUUUUGUUACAUAACGCGGCCAAUGUUUGUCACAAAGAAGCGGGUUGAAUUAAUGAGCCGCUGAAGUUAGCACGAAGAAGCGGUAAGUUCAAUGAGAGGCUGAACGCAAAUAAGAUGGUCACAAAUAUGUCACGUGCGACUACGAUUUAUUUCGAUUGGCCAAAAAAUUAGAUUGACCUCGUGGGAGAAUAAGCUUUGCGCGAAAAAACAAGACAGACUUAAUUUAAGACUCUUGCUUUAUUUCGAGGUGUGAGAUUCAUGCACCUGUUGCACAGUAUGAUUGUCGCGAUAAUUUUUUUUCUUUCUAUAUUACGUAAUAGAAUUAUCCACAGUAAUUAGCCUAUACAGUUACCUAAUUAGAUAUCUUUGAUGUUCUGUCUUUUUCUUAGGAAAGUAAUGAGUCACCGAAAAUCAACAAUCACCCUUUUUCUAGCAGUUGGAAUGCUGAUACUGAGCAGUUUGAUUGAUGCGGAUAUGUUUCUGCACAACCCCAGAGGCUCCAACAACCGCCUGAAUGGAAAUACUGCUAAUCGAAAGAAUAAUAAUCGAAUGUUCGAUUCUCAGAACAACGCCAAAGGUGGUUACAAUGUUGGUGAUAAAACUGCUUCAGCAUCGACCAGCGAAGACACGCAAUUUAACAUG